rnacentral:rRNA from 1 species
GAUGAGCGCUGACAGAAUGCUUAACACAUGCAAGUCUUUGGCGAAGCUGUGCUUGCACAGCCUAGCCAAGGCGGACGGGUGAGUAACGCGUAAGGAACUUGCCCUGCAGUCAGGGAUAACAGACGGAAACGACUGAUAAGACCUGGUAAAGUCAGGCGGACUCAUGUCCAGCCUGAUGAAAAGUGAUGCUGCAGGAGAGCCUUGCGUCCUAUUAGCUUGUUGGUGGGGUAACGGCCCACCAAGGCGAUGAUAGGUAGCCGGCCUGAGAGGGUGGACGGCCACAAGGGGACUGAGAUACGGCCCUUACUCCUACGGGAGGCAGCAGUGGGGAAUAUUGGACAAUGGGGGCAACCCUGAUCCAGCAAUUCUGUGUGCACGAUGAAGGUUUUCGGAUUGUAAAGUGCUUGCAGCAGGGAAGAAAAAAAUGACGGUACCUGCAGAAGAAGCGACGGCUAAAUACGUG